AUGCAGCCCAAUGCUGCCUAAACUCGAAACAUGAAAGUCGAGAGUUUUACGUAUAUAUAGGUAAAUUACAGAACGAAGUUAAUCAACCAGAUGAAGAGAAAAAUGGGCGAUAGAAAGAAAGGAGAUGCCAAAAAAGCAAGAACAGAAUGGCCAUCGAUCAAACCAAAACCUAAUCUCCGCAUCACUAGUCUCAAAGACACCGAUCUCUUUACUGUGCAGAAUUUUUUCACGUCUGCGGAAUCAAAGGCAUUCGUCAAAGCUGCAGAAUCUAUUGGGUUUGUUCACCAAGGGAGUCUUGGCCCCACAAAAGGCGAAGCAUAUAGAGACAAUGAUCGAAUUUCUGUGAACGAUCCUGUUCUUGCAGAGGCAAUAUGGGAAUCUGGACUUAACAAACUAUUGUCUGAUUUUAAGAUUCGUGGGAAAGUUGCUGUCGGACUGAAUUCAAAUAUCAGAUUGUAUAGGUACAAAGUUAGUCAACGCUUUGGACGGCAUAUUGAUGAAAGUGUUGAUCUUGGAGAGGGAAAGCGAACCCAUUAUACCUUGUUAAUAUACCUAAGUGGUGGUGUCAAACCCAAAUCUAAAAAUGACCUGAGCAACCCACAGGAUUCUUCCUCUGAGACUCUAGUUGGAGGAGAGACUGUCUUCUAUGGUCCCAGAAAUGGUAUUGUGGCCGAGGUUCCUCCUACUGAAGGGAUGGCUCUCCUCCACAUUCAUGGUGAUAAGUGUAUGCUGCAUGAAGCCCGGAAUGUUACUAAGGGUGUCAAGUAUGUGUUACGGUCUGACGUAGUUUUUGCUCAAUGAGGGCCAGGUGUUAUCAUUAGAAGUUCGCAGCUGAAUGGGGGACCACAGGCAGGACAGGGUCAGCCACCGGCUAACCGAUUCAAAAAGUUCGAGCAAACGCCCACGACAUACAUGUCUUGACCAGCUCAAUGGCUCGCCAUAGCGAAGGGCAAUCAUUCGGCUAUUCCACUGCUUAGAUGGGCAAGUUUCAAAGAAUUUCUAGAUUCUGUUCCUCAUUGUAUGUGAUCUCCAGUGGAGGCAAUGUAAGCUUACAUUUUACUUAUUUGACAUGAGUAUCCAGUCCCCAGUUGUCAGUAUGUAAUUUAGGAUGUUACCUGUAUCUCCAUUUCACAGAUCUAUCAAAAGUAUCUAUAUUGCCAAGAUUUAUUUUGUCUUCUUUUGUAAGAAUUAUUUUAUUUUAGAGUUAAUUGUUAUUUUCUUUGGUUA